rnacentral:rRNA from 1 species
UACGUUCCCGGGUCUUGUACACACCGCCCGUCACACCACGAAAGUCAGCAACACCCGAAGCCGGUGGCCUAACCCGCAAGGGAGGGAGCCGUCGAAGGUGGGGCCGGCGGUUGGGGUG